rnacentral:rRNA from 1 species
UAAGCGGAGGAAAGAAACUAACAAGGAUUCCCCUAGUAACUGCGAGUGAAGCGGGAAAAGCUCAAAUUNGGAAUCUGGUGGUCUUUGNCCAUCCGAGUUGUAAUUUAGAGAAGCGUCUUCCGCGCUGGACCGUGCACAAGUCUCCUGGAAUGGAGCGUCAUAGAGGGUGAGAAUCCCGUCUUUGGCAUGGAAUCCCAGGGCUUCUGUGAUGCGCUCUCGACGAGUCGAGUUGUUUGGGAAUGCAGCUCAAAAUGGGUGGUGAACUCCAUCUAAAGCUAAAUAUUGGCGAGAGACCGAUAGCGAACAAGUACCGUGAGGGAAAGAUGAAAAGCACUUUGGAAAGAGAGUGAAACAGUACGUGAAAUUGUUGAAAGGGAAACGCUUGAAGUCAGUCGCGUCGACCGAGACUCAGCCUUGCCUCGGCUUGGUGUACUUCUCGGCUUGACGGGUCAGCAUCGAUUUCAAUCCUCGGAUAAUGGCAAGGGAAAGGUAGCACCUUUUUAGGUGUGUUAUAGUCCUCUGUCGCUUGCGAGGGUCGGGAUCGAGGAACUCAGCACGCACCUCAGGGUGUCGGGGCCUUGGCCCACGUUUACGUGCUUAGGAUGCUGGCGUAAUGGCUUUAAACGACC